UACGUAGGGUGCGAGCGUUAAUCGGAAUUACUGGGCGUAAAGCGUGCGCAGGCGGUAAGUUAAGUCUGAUGUGAAAGCCCCGGGCUCAACCUGGGAAUGGCAUUGGAAACUGGCUUGCUGGAGUGUGGCAGAGGGGGGUGGAAUUCCGCGUGUAGCAGUGAAAUGCGUAGAGAUGCGGAGGAACACCGAUGGCGAAGGCAGCCCCCUGGGCCAACACUGACGCUCAGGCACGAAAGCGUGGGGAGCGAUCCGG
rnacentral:rRNA from 1 species